rnacentral:rRNA from 1 species
AACGAACGCUGGCGGCAUGCCUAACACAUGCAAGUCGAACGAACACCUGCGGGUGUUAGUGCCGCACGGGUGCCUAACGCGUGGGAAUUAACCCUUGGGUUCGCAAUAUCAACGGGAAACGGCACCUAGUACCACCUGAGAUCGCAACGGCAAACAUUUUUCGCCUGAGGAUGCGACCGCGUUGGACUAGUUAGUUGGUAUGGUAAAGUGCUACCAAGCCGACGAACCAUAGCUGUACUGAGAGGAUGUUCCGCAACACUGGUGCGUAGCCACAGCCCAGACUCCUCCGGGAGGCAGCAGUGGGUAAUAUUGGACAAUCGGCGCAAGCCUGAUCCAGCAAGGCCGCGUGAGUGAUGUAGGCACUAGGGUUGUAAUGCUCUAUUACCUGGGAAGAUAAUGACUGUACCGGGAGAAUAAGCCCCGGCUAACUACGUG